rnacentral:lncRNA from 10 species
AAAGUUCAUACAUGCUAUUAUCUGCAAAAUAUUUUUAAUUAGUACAGUAUUUACCUUUAAGGGACUGAACAAGGACAGCAAUCACGAACCUAAAGGUGAUAAAACAUACUUGGAAAUGAAGUUAUUUGACUUAUAUACCUUCACUUUCAAAAGUCCAGAGCAAGAGCAUCCAAAAAUGUGAUUUCAUAAACUAAUUUCUGUUGAUGGAUCUUGUAGCUUUUGUGGGUACACAAAGUAGGACGAGUCUUCUUGGUUACGUUGGAGGAAAAAGGUAUUUACUACCAGGGAGCACCCAAUUCUUCUUGAGAACACCAACCUACAACUUGAAGUACAAUUCACCUGGAAUGACUCGCUCCAAUGUUUUGUUUACAUCCAGAUAUGGCCAUCUGUGAAACAGAAGGGAAGAUCGCCAUUGGUUAUACAUAACAGCAAUUCAUUUUUUUCCUCUGAAGUUGAACAUGCAAAGAACAUGACCAUUAAGUGCUGUUUUAUGUAUAUAAGACAUAUAUAUGUGUGAAAAUAUAUGCACAUAUGCACCCUAAUAACAUAUAUUUAUUAUAUUAAAUGAUAUAUGAAAGAAGAAUUAGCAGAAAAUGGAAUAUAAGACUUAACCUUUCUGGAAACGUAAUAAACCAUGUUAAAAUUGUUUACACAAA